GAUGAACGCUGACAGAAUGCUUAACACAUGCAAGUCGACCGGAACUUCGGUUUGGGUGGCGGACGGGUGAGUAACGCGUAAAGAACUUGCCUCACAGUUAGGGACAACAUUUGGAAACGAAUGCUAAUACCUGAUAUUAUGAUCUUAGGGCAUCCUAAAAUUAUGAAAGCUAUCUGCGCUGUGAGAGAGCUUUGCGUCCCAUUAGCUAGUUGGAGAGGUCACGGCUCACCAAGGCGAUGAUGGGUAGCCGGCCUGAGAGGGUGAACGGCCACAAGGGGGCGGUGACACGGCCCUUACUCCUACGUGAGGCAGCAGUGGGGAAUGUUGGACAAUGGACCACAAGUCUGAGGCAGCAGUUCUGUGUGCACGAUGACGUUUUUGGGAGUGUAGAGGGCUUUCAUUUGGGGAGAAUAAAAUGACGGUACCAACAGAAGAAGUGACGGCUAACUACGUG
rnacentral:rRNA from 1 species